rnacentral:sRNA from 5 species
UCGAAAGACAUUCAUUCAAGAGAUCCUAACGUGAUUAUCGUAAAUAGCUGGAAUUGUAGAUAUUUACAAUGACAUAGAUCAUUUUUCUUCGACGUAAUUACGGCCUAAUGUCGAGACAAGAAUAAUAUGACGCUGAUCUGUGUUUUGACAAGAAUAUGAAUGAUCUUAAGAAAAGGCUUCGCUGAAUCAAUUGGAAGACAGCGUCUUCAAUUGUCCUACUAAAUUCUUUACGGAUGACAUCUGGGUCUAGGGAGAUCAUGCAAAAAAAUAAGACAUCAUUUAUAACUUUCAACCUUCCGCUCACAGGACUAAUUCUCGAAGACGCUACGAAAAGAUGCUGAGCUUGAUGAUAAUUCUUCAGGCUCCCAAUUCAAGAAUACAAUUACUUAGUGUGGGUGCCUCUGCUCAGUCUUCGUUUCCUAUCUCCACAUACGAAUCACUCGCUUGUUACUAAUUCGAAUAAUUUACUGCUGUAAGGAGUCGUACCGCCAACUAAAUCUGAAUAACAAUUUGGCUGCUAGAAGUCAAAAAGUAGGCGCUGCAAUGAUUAUGUGGUAUGAUCAGAUUGUGUCGCAACAUUCAGCGGGGUUUUGACUCAAUGGGACCGCUGCUAAUAAAGUGUUUAACUAGCGAAUUUUGGAACACACCCGUUGACAAAAGUAUAAGGAGUCUCUUUCCGUGAGUUCCCCUCUUCCUCUCACUGCACUUCAACUAUGCCUUAUAGCAACCAAGAAGCUAGAAAAUGCCAACUAUUAAAAAGAUAACCUCUUUGGAAUUAAAUAAAACGGAGAUUAUCUUGGGAUCUAUUUCACAAAUUUACGGCUAAUUGGAAUGAACAGCGCCAAGUAGCACUGGACAAACUGCAGAGAGUAUUAGAACUUGCUUUAUUCCGUAUAUCGUACUUUAGGUCGUCAGUUUUACCACUUCGGUACGCAAAUGAAAAUAAAAAGCUCAUUCACAACUUAGACACAAUUUCGCCGUUUACAAGUAGCUGAAAAGUCCAUCUAUCGAAUUAUGAAUGAUACUAUUUUAAAUAUCGUCGUUACUGCACUCGUUUUCCACGUUCUUUUUAUCCACACAUCCGAUGUUUUAUUUACAGUUGAGCAUCUCAGGGCCAGCGACAAAUAUAAACAUAUUAUACUCAAAAUGAAGCUCGUUGAAAAGAGAAUAUUUCUUAACCUCUUUUACAGUGCUUUCAACACCUUUUCACCUGUGUGCCAUGUCAGAUUAAGGAUGCUCAACUUUUCGAAUUAUUAUUACAAAUUUCAAAGAAAUUACUAGUCCUUUUUGUGCCCUAAUGUAUCCCUCAUUUCAUACCGUCGUUUUGGGGUUCCAACUACGUAUAGCUUUCAAGUGUGGUUUUACGGUAAGAACAACCCCCCAUCGGUUGGUGCGGAAUACUUUCCUAUUCUCAUCGAGAGCCGAGCCAUACACCUAAGGUGGACAGAAAGCUAAAAUUCCAAAACAGAAAAAUCUAACGUCUUUGCUCCCUUACAAGUAGGAACGCUGGCGUAUCAACCCGUCUCCAGAUUUGCCCAGCAUUUCUGUAGAACACCCAAUGCGAAUGAAGACUAAUGAAUAUUGUAAAGACAAAAAAUAGGAAAAGUUUAAUUAGUGAUGGUUCUCACCACCCCAAAACGGUCACUUGCAUGCAUUGAGGACAUGCACCUGCAGUACUUGUUUUUCUCGAAUGUUUUUACCAUCUCUUUUUUCCUUAUCUGAGCUACUGACGCAGACGGACAUUGUUUCAUAUUUCGAAAGCUGUGCGGGAAAACGGACCCUAACACGAAUGUGAAUGCGCUAAUCAAUAUUUCCACCACAUGAAACCUGCUACUUUUUCAGUCCUCUUCGUAUGCAUUUCCCAAAAUUCAUUCGUAGCCUUGUCAACUUAGACUCAGUUCCACGGCGUGCAGGACGGGGUAUUAUGAAUAAAAGGAUCCACGGGCGAGAUUUGUUCUAUGUUUUAGGUAUGGAGUUUUGUACCACAAAACUUUAGGAAUACCGGAUUGUGUGCCUACGCCAGCCCCAGAGUAUGUUCUCACAGCUGUAAUUCCUCGUGAUCUUUUCCUGGCUCCAAUAGGAACGCCGGCAGGCAAAUUAAACUUUCGCGGCAGGAAAAAAAAGACUUUUCUUUUUUGCGUUUCAGUUUCUCGGAAUGUGGCAUUACAUAAGCAAAAUCCUUUUUGGGUGUGCCUGGAAAGUUCAAAUUAAGGUUUUUCUCUUCUGUUUUCUUGACAAGAAAAUGUCGCAAGAAAAUGUCGCAAGAAAAUGUCGCCCAAAGAGUUUCGGCCGUUAUUUCCCUAUCGAAGUGGGUCCUUUUUGUCUUUAGUCCUUCUCUGGGGCUAGCGAUCACUGCAAAAUUAGGCUUUACUGGUAGGAGUUAACUUUUUUUCUUUUUUUUUGUCAUCCUUUUCUUUGGGGCUAAGAAUGGACUUCCCUUUUCUUUUUCUUUGUUGCAGCAGUGGCUUCAAAGAACUGCUGAUUGCUCAAGGCAAUCAGUCCGAGCGUUUAGAAGGUGAUUGUAGACAGAAAUUAACUUUGCGGUAAAAGAAUAACAUUCUUUCUUAAAAGAAAAAUUAGCUUUUUUUUGUCAGGCAUUGCACAAACUUUUUUAUUUCUGCCUAUACUCUUAAACAGAUCAGUCAUUCAUGUUGUCUUUUUAACGAUCGUACUGGGACAUCGCAUGCCUUGGGAUUCCGUAAUUAGGUGCAACAAUACGGGCACAACUCAUUCUGCGCUAUCUUCACGGACAGAACUUCUAUUGCCUAUCGGUGGUGUGAUUAACAAUUGGAAGCGCAGAGCUUGGAAUGGAUUUUCAAUUCAAUGGAUUUGGAGGUAUUCGUUUGUUUACUAAUAUUUACUUUGAGGACAUUGUCCAACCCUAAAAGUGCCUGUUCCAGAAUAGAAUAACAUUAUGAUACGUUUUCUUGACCGCUGAGCAAUUUAAAGCAACUAUUAGGGUACGAUUGUUUCUAGAGAAAUGUGGGUCAUCUUUUUAGGUCCGUUCUCUUCUGAUGAGGUAACCUUUUCUUUACAAAAAUGUCAUAGAGUUACCAAUUGGGAUUCAAGGCAUCAUCGCAAUAUACUUCGUUCUUUUACGGAGAAAUUAAGCUCUUUCCACUUUGAAUUAACUGUUAGACUUGUCUCAUCUGAGGAAUGUCCGUGUUCAAAUUAAAUAAAAAUUUAGGGCAGUUUUAUUUACCUUAACAAAUAUGUUCAAGCAUGUAGGU